GGACGAACGCUGGCGGCGUGCCUAAUACAUGCAAGUCGAACGAGAGCGACCGGUGCUUGCACUGGUCAAUCUAGUGGCGAACGGGUGAGUAACACGUGGGUAACCUGCCCAUCAGAGGGGGAUAACAUCCGGAAACGGAUGCUAAAACCGCAUAGGUCUUCGAGCCGCAUGGCUUGAAGAGGAAAAGAGGCGCAAGCUUCUGCUGAUGGAUGGACCCGCGGUGCAUUAGCUAGUUGGUGAGGUAACGGCUCACCAAGGCCGUGAUGCAUAGCCGACCUGAGAGGGUGAUCGGCCACAUUGGGACUGAGACACGGCCCAAACUCCUACGGGAGGCAGCAGUAGGGAAUCUUCCGCAAUGGACGCAAGUCUGACGGAGCAACGCCGCGUGAGUGAAGAAGGUGUUCGGAUCGUAAAACUCUGUUGUUAGAGAAGAACAAGUGCUAGAGUAACUGUUAGCGCCUUGACGGUAUCUAACCAGAAAGCCACGGCUAACUACGUG
rnacentral:rRNA from 1 species